rnacentral:rRNA from 1 species
CCUACGGGUGGCAGCAGUGGGGAAUAUUGCACAAUGGGGGAAACCCUGAUGCAGCGACGCCGCGUGAGUGAAGAAGUAAUUCGUUACGUAAAGCUCUAUCAGCAGGGAAGAAACACUGACCUUACGGUCAGCAGACGGUACCUGAGUAAGAAGCCCCGGCCAACUACGUGCCAGCAGCCGCGGCAAUACGUAGGGGGCAAGCGUUAUCCGGAUGUACUGGGUGUAAAGGGAGCGUAGGCGGUGCGCCAAGUCUGGAGUGAAAUGCCGCGGCUUAACUGCGGAACUGCUUUGGAAACUGGCGAACUAGAGUGCGGGAGAGGUAAGCGGAAUUCCUAGUGUAGCGGUGAAAUGCGUAGAUAUUAGGAGGAAUACCGAUGGCGAAGGCGGCUUACUGGACCGUAACUGACGUUGAGGCUCGAAAGCGUGGGGAGCAAACAGGAUUAGAUACCCGAGUAGUC